rnacentral:lncRNA from 1 species
GCUGGAUGUGAGUGCUGAAAAGGGGGCAGCACCUUUGUCCUGGGGGAUUAGGAGCUGACCAGAUUCCUCCUGACUCCCUCCCAAAACAAGUGGGGCUGGUGCUGCAAUUAAUGAUGCCCCCCAGAAGAUGUGUUUGCACUGGCUGAACAAGUACAUGAUACAGAGGCCUAAAUGAAGACACAUGAAUGGGGACAUCAGUUAGCAGCUGGGAAACAGGUGCCUCUCAGGCCUCUCAUUCUUCAGCAAGUGUGGAAUAUGCCUGUGCCCUUGAGUGUAUACAUCUGGAUUGUAUACAUCUGGCUGUUGCUUUUGCUGCCACUAUCCCCAGGCCCAAUCUAGCUUAAAGUCCAGGUUUUAAGUAAAAAAGAUAAGAGGAUUUUCUGUGUUCUGGGAUAGGAAGCUAGGGAUCUGUGUAGGGCUGGGGUUGGGUGCACAUUAGUUUUGUGACAGGAUGAGAGCUGCAGUGGUUUUAUUAAUCGUGAUAGCCUGGCCUGGUUGUAGCUCCAGGUGAGGGGGAGGGAGUCAGCAGUGGUGGUCCCGGAGACAUCCACCCGCCCAGCCCUGGCCUUCCUGCCCUCAGGCACAGCAAAAGGCACCGCCACAGGCCCCGACUUCCUUCCCUACUCUCUGCAGCCCAGAUGGGAAAACUUGGAGGCUACAAUCUGAAUAUAUUUUUCUCCCAUUUUAACCCGAGCUGCCUAACACACAGUGGGGGCAGGGUGGGUGAAGGGCCUGGGGAAAAGCAGGGCUGGAUCAUGGAUCCCGGGGGAAAUUUAGAGAUGCAAAGUGGUUGUCACCUCUCUGUGGAACCCAGCUCCAUACCUGGUCCUUGCCACACAGCCCUUUCUACAGAGAAUAGCUCUGGGGCGUUUGGGGAUCCCUAUGGCCCCGGGUGGCUUCCUGUCCCCCGCUGCCUAUGCUGCUUCCCUUGCCUGCUGUCAGAGCCCAACAUGGAGGAGGAGGUUGCCGCCCUGGGAGCCUGAGGGAGCUCUUCCCUUGCCUGCUGGCAGAGCCCAACAUGGAGGAGGAAGUUGCCGCCCUGAGAGCCUGAGGGAGCUGUGUCUGACUGGGGCUUCUGCCUGGGGUUUUGCAAAGAGCUACUUAUGAAUAUAGUCUCUCCAGAUUCCUUGUUUCAAAGGAAGUGAGCAUGAGCUAGCAAGUGUAGCAACCCCACAGCUGAUAAACAACUUUGUCUUGGUUUUAAAC